GGAAGAAGUUAGUCGCCAUCUUGGAUCAUCGGCUAACAUAAUUAUUGACUGAAGUGAGUUUGUAACAUGUUUGGCUGCGCUCCAACAGCGUUAUCGUGUUUACACACAGCUUUCCUUUAGGUUUCAUGUCUCAGACUAUCACUGCAAAGUUUAUCUGACCUCUGAUUUGGCUGAGUGGAUUUUCGUCAAGGAGCACAUCGCUGGAAAGAUGCCAGUGAAGUUUCGCAAGACAGAUUUUCUUUGCCGAGCAACAGCGUGCCUCACAACAAUGGCUGUCUGAGCCUCGGACACCAGCAGGUGUGAGGCUUCCAGUCCAUUC
rnacentral:lncRNA from 1 species